rnacentral:rRNA from 1 species
GACGAACGCUGGCGGCGUGCUUAACACAUGCAAGUCGAACGGUAAGGCCCUGCUUUUGUGGGGUGCUCGAGUGGCGAACGGGUGAGUAACACGUGAGUAACCUGCCCCUGACUUUGGGGUAACUUCAGGAAACUGGGGCGAAUACCGGAUAGGAGCUCCUGCUGCAUGGUGGGGGUGGGAAAGAUUCGGCGGUUGGGGAUGGACGCGCGGCUCAUCAGCUUGUUGGUGGGGUAGUGGCUUACAAAGGCUUUGACGGGUAGCCGGCCUGAGAGGGUGACCGGCCACAUUGGGACUGAGAUACGGCCCAGACUCAUACGGGAGGCAGCAGUGGGGAAUAUUGCACAAUGGGCGGAAGCCUGAUGCAGCAACGCCGCGUGCGGGAUGACGGCCUUCGGGGUGUAAACCGCUUUCGCCUGUGACGAAGCGUGAGUGACGGUAAUGGGUAAAGAAGCACCGGCUAACUACGUG